rnacentral:rRNA from 1 species
CCUACGGGUGGCAGCAGUGAGGAAUAUUGGUCAAUGGGCGUAAGCCUGAACCAGCCAAGUCGCGGGAGGGAUGAAGGUUCUAUGGAUCGUAAACCUCUUUUCUAAGGGAAUAAAGUGUGGGACGUGUCCUAUUUUGUAUGUACCUUAUGAAUAAGGAUCGGCUAACUCCGUGCCAGCAGCCGCGGUAAUACGGAGGAUCCGAGCGUUAUCCGGAUUUAUUGGGUUUAAAGGGUUCGUAGGCGGCCUUUUAAGUCAGCGGUGAAAGUCUGUGGCUCACCCAUAGAAUUGCCGUUGAAACUGGGGGUGUUGAGUAUGUUUGAGGCAGGCGGAAUGCGUGUUGUAGCGGUGAAAUGCUUAGAUAUCACGCAGAACCCCGAUUGCGAAGGCAGCCUGCCAAGCCAUGACUGACGCUGAUGCACGAAAGCGUGGGGAUCAAACAGGAUUAGAUACCCUUGUAGUC